GGGUGUCGUAAAAGGAGGAGAAAAAACCACCCGGCUGACUGAGGAAGGAGACCCGGGCACGCCGAGAGCGCGGCGGGGUGCGCAGGAGGCACGCCAGCCCUCUCGCUCUCCUCGGUCAGCUCAGCGAGAGCCGCCCUUGCCCACAAGUUUGCUGGAAAAUCCUGGCCUUGCAGUAAGGCAGCUGACUCUCAUUUCCGGUGCAACUACAAAACUUGGAAAUGGCCUCUGUGUCAGGCACUUCUGUGGGUCAAAGCAUACCGGUUGAAAUAGAUGAAUCCAUGCCGUGGUCCCCAUUUCCUGAACAUAUCUUGGAAAAGGCUUUGCAGUCUUCUGGAGAGGAUACAAAGGAUGAGGAGUCCCAGAGACCAUGUGUCUCUCAAACACUUGAGCCUGUGGCCAACGCAUCGUGCCUCUGCGGAGCAUCAGCACAUUGUCAGUCAGCACCGUCCAUGGACCCGGACAGCAGCUUGUGGUCCAGAUACACUGAUCCUGACGUAGAUGGACACUUCUGUUCCCCCAGUGAAUCAAUAGCUGGAAUAGUUGCCUCCAAGAUGCAUCUUGUAGCUAUGGACAAACCAGGCAUGCAGCCAAGAUCACAGCUUUCAGCUGACACUGGACACAACUCCAGUAAAUCAGAGCAAAGCUUGUCUGAUGCUCCUGAGGACUCACUGGAGGAGAGCAGCCAAGGGAGUUCACGGUCACGGCAACACUCAGGAAACAGACCCCCAGCAGAGCUGGGGACCGUGGACACAGGGUACAGCUCCCAGUCACGAGAUGUCAUGGGCAUCAGGCACCUGGAUCCCCCCUUACCGCUGGUGUCCAUGCUGAACCCCCAGGACCUUCCAGGACCACUGAUGUCCAGAGUGUAUUUUGGACCUGAGCAUCAGCAGUGCCCUAUGUGCCAGCACUUGCCCCAUCCCAACACCUCCUCACAAGACCAUGGAUGCUUUGAGCACCGCUGCCUGGCAAAGCAGCACCCCCAGGGCCCAUAUGGCAGAGCUCCUUACCAACAUUUUGAACAUGCGUCGCAACCGCUUCCUCCUGUUCCUGGACCUUGCAUGAGAGUUAUCCGCCCGGCCCAGCAAGUCAUCCCAAAUUACUCAGACCUUCGUGCUCCCCAGGGCACCAGAGGCCGACCACCCCAGAGGACAUGCUCCUCCCCUGGUCCUCCUCGAUUCCCAAAUCAGCUAUACAACCAGCUACCUAAUGGCCAGCUGACCCCCAAGGCAUGUGGCCCAGAUGAAGCAUGUUGCUGUCCUUGUGACAAUUUUCCAUCUCCAGCUGCCGUCCCGAGACCUCUCAGUAACCCUGCAGCCAAGGGAACUCUGAGAACCAGCAAUUUGCCAGAGGAGUUGCGCAAGGUCUUUAUAACCUAUUCGGUGGACACAGCAGUGGAGGUUAUGAAAUUCGUGAACUUCCUGCUUGUAAAUGGAUUUCAAACUGCUAUUGAUAUAUUUGAGGACACGGUACGAGGUAUUGACAUCAUUAAGUGGAUGGAGCGGUAUCUAGGUGAUAAGACGGUGAUGAUAAUCAUAGCAAUCAGUCCAAAAUACAAACAGGAUGUGGAAGGGGCAGAAUCCCAGCUGGACAGGGAUGAACACGGCUUACAUACUAAAUACAUCCACAGGAUGAUGCAGAUCGAGUUUAUACAACAAGGAAGUAUGAACUUCAGAUUCAUCCCUGUGCUUUUUCCAAAUGCUAGAAAGGUAAUGAUAAUAUAACUGAGGACAUCAUGGGUGGAAGGAGAGCACCAGAGCCUGAACAAGUUGCAGUAAUGAAGUCUGUGGGCAAUCAGAGGAAGUGAGGAACACGUGCCUACCUGGCUGCAGAACACUCACAUUUAUAACUGGCCAAAGAAUAAGAAGAACAUCCUUUUGCGGUUACUGAGGGAGGAGGAAUACAUUGCUCCUCCAGUAGGACCUUUACCAACACUCCAGGUUGUGCCAUUAUGAACGUUAUUGCUUAAAGUGCACUACAAGCAGUUGUUAAAGGGUUGUUCUUGGCAGGGAGCCAGUGCUCUUCCAGAUGGCUCUUUUUGAUGACAGAAGACACUCUUUCUGCUAAAGGAAUCGGUUGUCUUGGGUAACUCAGGCUCGGCUUGUUCUCUACCAUGAUAAACAUCUAUUUCUGAAGCUGAUGGGGAAGAACUCUUUUCUCUAGAUUUUUAAGAGCUGCACAUGGAAAGAAUGCCCAGUUUUAUUUUAACAUCUGUUUUUAACAUAUUCCUUUAUUAGUCGAUAUGGCAAACAAAUACCAGAAAUAAUGUUGCAAUGAGUGUAAAAUAAAAAUUACAUCCUC